GACGAACGCUGGCGGCGUGCCUAAUACAUGCAAGUAGAACGCAGUUGCGAACGGGUGAGUAACGCGUAGGUACCUGCCUCAUAGCGGGGGAUAAAUAUUGGAAACGAUAGCUAAUACCGCAUACUGUGAGAUGGACCUGCGUUGUAUUAGCUAGUUGGUGAGGUAAAGGCUCACCAAGGCGACGAUACAUAGCCGACCUUAGAGGGGGAACGGCCAAACCGGGGCUGGAGAACCGCCCAAGAUCCUUAGGGAAGGAGCCAUAGGGGAUCUUUGGGAAUGGGCGGAAGUCCGAACGAGCAAACCCGCGGGAAUGAAGAAGGUUUUUGGGACCUAAAGCCUUUUUGUUUAGGAAACGGUAACUAACCAGAAAGGCACGGCUAACUACGUGCCAGCAGCCGCGGUAAUAC
rnacentral:rRNA from 1 species